UUUGUUUGUUGUAAAUAAAAGGAUUGGGAACAGAUGUUGGCCUUGUGCCAGUUUAGGUCUGUGCACUUUUCUUGUCAAACAAGCUUGCCAAAAAAAGACAAAGGAAAAGUAGGCGUUCUUUUUCUUGCUCUUCCUUUAUGCAAACACCCAUCUGAGCCCUUGACCUCUGAUAAUCAAGCAAAGACAAAGUUAAAAUUAGUAACUCAUCUCUAUCAAACAAAAAAGUACUUGGCCUGAUAACACAAUACUUAUAAAAAACGAUGGCAUGGUAGGUGAAAGAUGUUAAUUGAAAUUAAAAAGAAUUUACCUUUCUGCUUUGCUCCUUCAAAACAUUCCUCCUCUGUUUCCUUUCAUCACUCUUUUGCAGCUGCAUAAAAAAAGAAAAAAAAGUCUCUUAUAGAACAGAUUAUAUUCAAACAAUAUUGAACUUAUGAUAACAAAAAUGAGGCACGAAAACAUGAAAAAGAUUGCUGCGGUGAAAAAUGAUUUACCAUUUUUCUGAUACCAUCAAGCAACAUGCUACCUGAUGCAUAUGGUUUUGUUAAAUCAAUGUUAGAGGCCUGAACUUUAGAAACAUUGCCAUGAAAAGUUUGGUCCAGGUCUUCAUUGAUAUUGUUGCUCUCUGAAUUUUGAUGGUUGGUAUCUCUGCUUACAUCCCC
rnacentral:lncRNA from 1 species